rnacentral:rRNA from 1 species
GACGAACGCUGGCGGCGUGCUUAACACAUGCAAGUCGAACGGAAAGGCCCUGCUUUUGUGGGGUGCUCGAGUGGCGAACGGGUGAGUAACACGUGAGUAACCUGCCCUUGACUUUGGGAUAACUUCAGGAAACUGGGGCUAAUACCGGAUAGGAGCUCCUGCUGCAUGGUGGGGGUUGGAAAGUUUCGGCGGUUGGGGAUGGACUCGCGGCUUAUCAGCUUGUUGGUGGGGUAGUGGCUUACCAAGGCUUUGACGGGUAGCCGGCCUGAGAGGGUGACCGGCCACAUUGGGACUGAGAUACGGCCCAGACUCCUAUGGGAGGCAGCAGUGGGGAAUAUUGCACAAUGGGCGGAAGCCUGAUGCAGCAACGCCGCGUGCGGGAUGACGGCCUUCGGGUGGUAAACCGCUUUCGCCUGUGACGAAGCGUGAGUGACGGUAAUGGGGAAAGAAGCACCGGCUAACUACGU